rnacentral:misc_RNA from 1 species
AAGAGCAGCAGUCCACAUACAGAACCUUCUUGUUCCUAUCUAUCUAUCGAUAAAUGCCCACGAAGUGUCGGCCGUUUAAUUUCUCUCUUUGUUUGAUUCUCUCUCUAGAGCGUUCUUUCUCUGUCUAAAGCUCCUCUAAUAUGGCGUCUCAAGCUAGCCUCCUCCUUCAAAAGCAACUUAAAGAUCUUUGUAAAAAUCCGGUUGAUGGGUUCUCGGCGGGGUUGGUUGAUGAGAAUAAUAUCUUUGAAUGGAGCGUUACCAUUAUUGGACCCCCUGAUACGCUUUAUGAAGGGGGAUUUUUUAAUGCCAUUAUGAGCUUUCCAUCCAAUUAUCCAAAUAGCCCUCCAACAGUAAAAUUUACCUCAGAGAUAUGGCAUCCUAAUGUUUAUCCUGAUGGGCUUGUUUGCAUAUCAAUUCUUCAUCCGCCGGGUGAUGAUCCAAAUGGCUAUGAGCUUGCAAGCGAGCGCUGGAUGCCUAUCCAUACAGUUGAAAGCAUAGUGUUGAGUAUCAUAUCAAUGAUUUCCAGUCCUAAUGAUGAAUCCCCAGCAAAUGUUGAAGCUGCAGUAAGUGAUAAUUGAAUUUCUUGUUACUGUCUUGUAUUUUGGCAACUUAACUCUGUUCAGUGGUGUUUUUAAUGUUUUUGUUAUUUCAUUUGCAUGUAAAUCCUUCUUGUGGAUUAUAUAUGAAAUUAGCUAGUUGUGGAAGGGGCUUUUGAUGGAUCAUACACGAAAUUGCCAAAUCUAAUAUUGUUUUUGAUUGAACAAAGUUUGCAUAUUGUUGCUUCCAGUUGCCAAUAGGAUGUCAUUUUCUGAAUUUUUUGUGCUGCAUAUUCUGAAUGCUUAUACAUUGGGUAAGUAUUCUUGAGAAAGUUUCAUUGUAUUAUCUUUGUUGCAAAUGGUGUUUGCUACUUUACUUUUCCUGGGGGCUUGCUGCUCGGUGCAUUGUGUAUGUUUAUUGACAUCAGAUAUUUCUGGAAUCAAAUUGUUCAUUCCGUACAUUUGAUUAUAUUUUCAAUUCCACUAAUCCUUGGAAUUAAUUCAAUCAUACGCCUGUUUGAUGCUAACAGGACAAAGUGGGCUGGUUUUAUUGUUCUCAACUUUUUGUUCUCUAUGAGACAAGUGUACAUAGAAAUCAGAAGCUGCUAAACAUGACCACAUAGGACACAUUAUCUAUAAAUAUUUUCUAAUUGUGUGAUAUGUGUUUAUGGAUUACAGCUUCUCAUCAAAUUACUGAACUGCUUUCUCUUCUAAGCAAUAAAUUGAUGCCAUGUGUUGGAUUGUUUUUGUUAUUUGUUAUUUGUUAUCAUGGUCGGGAAGUCAGUUGCUUGAUAAUUUGGCAAAAGAUUUUACAAACUUCAAUUGUGUCCUUUCG